rnacentral:rRNA from 1 species
CACGUAGGGCGCAAGCGUUGUCCGGAAUUAUUGGGCGUAAAGAGCUCGUAGGCGGUUCGGUAAGUCGGAUGUGAAAUCUCCACGCUCAACGUGGAGGGGCCAUUCGAUACUGCCGUGACUCGAGUCCGGUAGGGGAGUGUGGAAUUCCCGGUGUAGCGGUGAAAUGCGCAGAGAUCGGGAGGAACACCCGUAGCGAAGGCGGCACUCUGGGCCGGUACUGACGCUGAGGAGCGAAAGCGUGGGGAGCGAACAGG